ACCCCCUCUUUUUCCAGAUGAGGAAUCUGAGGCCGAGAGAAAUAAUCUGAGACUGAGUUUCCAGACAGUGUUUUCUCAUUCCAGCAAGCCUGGACCCCUCUCUGUGACUCCCCUCCCUCCGGGCCGAGACCUCGGGAGCAGCAGAGGUCUUGGGUCCCGUCACACUCCAUGCGAAGUCCUUUCAAUGGAGUUUGGAAACUUUAGGCUGCUUCCUCCCGAUUGGGCUCCCGAGACUAAAGAACCUGAGGAAAUCAUUAACUUCCCAGGGCACUGCUGGGAGCUGUGACCUUUUCCGAUCUCAUUGGGAGGGGGAGGGGAGCCCCACCCUCCUGCGAGCUGGGUGGGGAGAGGCUGCUCCGGGAACAGGUGUUUCCAGGAGUCUCUCCGUUCAUCCCGGGUGCAGGUACCUGCCGCCGCCGAGGUAGUGUCCCAGCUCCCGCCCCGUAUUAUUUCUCCCUCCUUCGUCCUUCAGCUUGUUCUUUUUAAAACAAGGUGUGUGUUGGGGGGUGGGGGUGGGGGCUUUUAUGCAAAGAAACUUCAAUUUAUUAAAAUAUGAAAUUCACAUCUGAAAUUUCAAUAGCGCAUUAAGUCUGCAGAAUCAAGUUGCUGUGGCAACCUUCACUCCCGCUCCUCGCUCGGGGUGACAAAGGGGCCUUUUGUUACGUGGAGAGCGCUGGGCUGGGCAUUGGGACAUCCUAUUCAGCCAAUCCACACAAAGGAAACAUACUUCCCCCUUGGCAGGCUGGGCCCGGAGCAUGCUAUAUGAUUGCCUGUGCCUUUAAUAAUGCUUCCCCGCUAAUGCUGGGAAAAUGAGCUGCCUAUUGUUAGCUGCUUUAAACCGAAGUUUCUUCUCGGCACUUAGUGGGAGGACAGAGCCCUUGAUCGUCCUGCAUUUGCUCUUUUUAACAGGGAGGGAGCAGACCUGCCUUACGAUUUCAACCUGGGCACUGGGUUAUUUUUGCUGUGGGGAGAAGGAAGCAAACUAUUACAAUGCAUCAUGUACCACACACAAUUCAUCUCUCCAUUCCCCAUCUGAUGAGCCCCUGCUUUGUUUCCAAUUCUUUGCUGAUGGACAGAAAAAAGUGCCAUUAUGAAUAUCUUGGGGCUUAUCAAGAACCAGAGAAGCAACAUCUGAGCAAGUCAGAGGCUGAAAACAGCAGACAAACUGUGUAACUGAGAGAUUCCUGAAACUGGAGAUUUGUAAG
rnacentral:lncRNA from 1 species